rnacentral:rRNA from 1 species
CCUACGGAGGCAGCAGUGGGGAAUAUGCACAAUGGGCGCAAGCCUGAUGCAGCCAUGCCGCGUGUAUGAGAGCUCGGUGUAAGUACUUUCAGUGUGAGGAAGGGGGUAGUKWAUAGCGCUAUCUCUGACGUAGCAACAGAAGAAGCACGGCUAACUCCGUGCCAGCAGCCGCGGUAAUACGGAGGGUGCGAGCGUUAAUCGGAAUUACUGGGCGUAAAGCGCAUGCAGGUGGUUCAUUAAGUCAGAUGUGAAAGCCCGGGGCUCAACCUCGGAACUGCAUUUGAAACUGGUGAACUAGAGUACUGUAGAGGGGGGUAGAAUUUCAGGUGUAGCGGUGAAAUGCGUAGAGAUCUGAAGGAAUACCAGUGGCGAAGGCGGCCCCCUGGACAGAUACUGACACUCAGAUGCGAAAGCGUGGGGAGCAAACAGGAUUAGAUACCCUGGUAGUCCACGCCGUAAACGAUGUCUACUUGGAGGUUGUGGCCUUGAGCCGUGGCUUUCGGAGCUAACGCGUUAAGUAGACCGCCUGGGGAGUACGGUCGCAAGAUUAAAACUCAAAUGAAUUGACGGGGGCCCGCACAAGCGGUGGAGCAUGUGGUUUAAUUCGAUGCAACGCGAAGAACCUUACCUACUCUUGACAUCCAGAGAAUCCAGCGGAGACGCAGGAGUGCCUUCGGGAGCUCUGAGACAGGUGCUGCAUGGCUGUCGUCAGCUCGUGUUGUGAAAUGUUGGGUUAAGUCCCGCAACGAGCGCAACCCUUAUCCUUGUUUGCCAGCGAGUCAUGUCGGGAACUCCAGGGAGACUGCCGGUGAUAAACCGGAGGAAGGUGGGGACGACGUCAAGUCAUCAUGGCCCUUACGAGUAGGGCUACACACGUGCUACAAUGGCGCAUACAGAGGGCAGCGAGCCAGCGAUGGUAAGCGAAUCCCAAAAAGUGCGUCGUAGUCCGGAUUGGAGUCUGCAACUCGACUCCAUGAAGUCGGAAUCGCUAGUAAUCGUGAAUCAGAAUGUCACGGUGAAUACGUUCCCGGGCCUUGUACACACCGCCCGUCACACCAUGGGAGUGGGCUGCAAAAGAAGUAGGUAGUCUAACCUUCGGGAGGACGCUUACCACUUUG